UUACUAGCGAUUCCAGCUUCACGCAGUCGAGUUGCAGACUGCGAUCCGAACUGAGAACAGAUUUGUGGGAUUGGCUUAACCUCGCGGUUUCGCUGCCCUUUGUUCUGUCCAUUGUAGCACGUGUGUAGCCCAGGUCAUAAGGGGCAUGAUGAUUUGACGUCAUCCCCACCUUCCUCCGGUUUGUCACCGGCAGUCACCUUAGAGUGCCCAACUGAAUGCUGGCAACUAAGAUCAAGGGUUGCGCUCGUUGCGGGACUUAACCCAACAUCUCACGACACGAGCUGACGACAACCAUGCACCACCUGUCACUCUGCCCCCGAAGGGGAAGUCCUAUCUCUAGGAUUGUCAGAGGAUGUCAAGACCUGGUAAGGUUCUUCGCGUUGCUUCGAAUUAAACCACAUGCUCCACCGCUUGUGCGGGCCCCCGUCAAUUCCUUUGAGUUUCAGUCUUGCGACCGUACUCCCCAGGCGGAGUGCUUAAUGCGUUAGCUGCAGCACUAAGGGGCGGAAACCCCCUAACACUUAGCACUCAUCGUUUACGGCGUGGACUACCAGGGUAUCUAAUCCUGUUCGCUCCCCACGCUUUCGCUCCUCAGCGUCAGUUACAGACCAGAGAGUCGCCUUCGCCACUGGUGUUCCUCCACAUCUCUACGCAUUUCACCGCUACACGUGGAAUUCCACUCUCCUCUUCUGCACUCAAGUUCCCCAGUUU
rnacentral:rRNA from 1 species